AAUCUGAAUAAAAUAAAAGAAUUGAAAAUGCUUCGACGCGGCAGUUUGCUUUGUAGUUUCUGCUGCAACUGAAGAACAAGCAAAACGUUAACCUUUACUAUUUUUCUUCUUUUCCUUCAGUUUCCAGGCAGCCAAACAGAACGUGAGUGCCAGCCACUGCAACUGUUUCUCCGUCUUAGAAACUUCUGUGGAUCACAGACGAGCUAUGCUCCCGUGGUCGUGAAUCUUAACAAGUGACAACCCACAAUUUUACCGUAAUUACUGAAGCCUUUCCCCUCCUUUUUUUUUUUUUUCCUUUACCCUGACUGAACAUGGAUAAAUGCUUAUCUUGAAUUUGAGGAAUGAUAAAUGAAGAUUUUUGAGUUAUAGAUUGUGGGUUUUGUUUGUGUUAGUAAAUUUUUUUGGUUUGGUUGGGUUCUGUUGAGUUUUUUUGGUGGUUGAACUAUCUUUAAUGCCUUCUUAUGCUUUGGUUUGUUUUUUCUUUGCGGUUUUUUUAGUUUUACUGAUAUUACUGUUAGAAUGGUGCUAUGACAAUUCCAUUUAUUGAUUUAUUUGAUAGAUGCUUCACAAUUUUGUGUUAUCAUGUGAAUUUUAUGGUGCCCUUGUAUCAUCUUGAACAAAAUCAACUUCUCAUUUUUGUAACUUACUGAGUUUUGGAAUUACUUAUAUGAGUUUUACUUCACGAGGGUUGUUGUGGAGGUGGAGGGAGAGACAGUGUCCAACAUUAAUAGUAUCAACUAACACAUUUAUUGUUGAACACCUAUGGGUGAUCACCUUGGAAAAUGAGAUAAUGGGCUUUCUACUUGUCUAUGCCAUAUCGGUCUGGGAAAUACAGUCCAAUCCUGUGAAGCCUCAUUGAAAAUUUAGGGUCAUCUUCUAAGAAGUGAUAGCUGAUAACAACUCAACUUCAGGGCCAAUAUGACCAUUUUAAAAGUUUGAAAAGGUAUGUCUUCUUUUUCCAUUGAAGAAGUUUGUGAUGGUGAUUCUUCCAUUUUUCUGUUUUCAGAGCUUUGUGCUUGUAUUUCUUCUUGCUCUGUGAUGGCCUAUGUGUUGAAAGAUCAUCAACUAAGACCUAGAGCGCAGAUGGGAAGCUGAAUUCUUGAGUGUAAACUGCCUGUGUUGGGGUUGAGGAAGAUGGCUUUCUGUGCCAACCAUAAGGUUGCAGGUUUGAUUUUUGAGAUGCUCACCUUGAUUCAAGAUCUGCUUCUUGAUUCUUCUCAAUUCAUCCAUGAAGAAUAUUGUCAGAGCAGUGUUGUGUCUGUACCAGUUUGGGUUGGAGUACUUGGCUCAGUAACUGAAUAAAUGAGCAGGGAUAAGGUGAUAAAACUGCUUGGUGGAGAACCCAAGGACAAGUGCCACAUCCCAGAACAGACAAACUUUUUGUGACCAUGUAGAGCAGUUCAGCUGGAGAUUCGGAAAGUUUUCAUAAACUGAAGUUACCUACAUAGGUGAUGUGGCACUGAACAAAUUCUUCCUUGUGUUCUAGUAUUGAGCUUAGGUGUAAGUUCUGGGACUGGGAUAGAUGGCUUUCCCUGUUGAGUGCUGGCAACAAGAUCACAGGUGUGCAAGUUGACCAGAUCAGAAUGCUUGGUAGAGCACUUGGAAAAAUGAGCAGCAGACUGGAAAAUUUGGUGGAGAGCCUAAACACAAGGUACCAUAUCCCAAGAAAGAACUAAAUCUUUUGGCAACCAUGUGGAACUGGGCGGUUGGCCUUCCAGAAAAUUCCCAUAAACUGAUCUCAACUACUUAGGUAAUGACUUGGUUUACAAGUUGACCAGAUCAGAAUACUUGGCAUAGUUCUUGAAGAAAAUGAGAUGAGUUGAUAGGACUGUUAGGUGGAGAGCCCAACCAAAAGAUUCCACAUCCAAGAAAAGACAAACUUUCAGCAACCAUGUAGAGCAGUAAGGUUUACCUGCAUAAGUCCUUGAAUUGGUUGUUCAAAUGGAUGUUCAGGCGAUGUGACACUGAACAAAUUCUUCCAUUUGUUCUAGUAUUGAGCUUAGGGGUAUGUUCUGGAACUGAGGCAGACAGUUUUCCCUGCUCUGUGUUGACAAUGAGGUUUCAGGUGUACAAGUUGACUAGAUCAGAAUGCUUGGUAGAGUACUUGGAAAAAUGAGCAGCAGACAAGAAAAUUGGAGGGAGAGCCUAAACUCAAGGUUCCAUAUCCCAACAAAGGACUAAUCUAUUGGCAACAAUGUGGAGCUGGGCAGUUGGACUUCCGGAAAAUUCCCAUAACCUGAUCUCACCUACUUAGAUAUGGAGCUGAGUAGGCUCCGGAUGGCAAAAACCAGAAUAAUAAAAUUGCAAUCUAGCCAAUUAAUGGCACUAAGGACUCUGAGCUCAUGGUCAUUUUCCAUUGCUUCUUGGUUACCCAAACCAUGGAUAAACAAAGAAAUUAAGGUUGAGAUCUUUCAUGAGUUUGGAGUUUGUAUGCUUCAAAAUAUUUUCGCCAUCUUUUCUUUUCUUCCUAAGAUUCAGAAACAGAGCUUUUUGUUAGACU